AGUCUGCUGGGGAUGAGGUCA
rnacentral:miRNA from 1 species